GGCUCUAUAGUGUAGUGGUUAUCACAUCGGAUUCUGAGCUUACUCAUAUUUCCGGUAACCGCGGUUCGAGUCCGCGUAGGGCCU
rnacentral:tRNA from 1 species